CCUACGGGUGGCAGCAGUGAGGAAUAUUGGGCAAUGGACGAGAGUCUGAACCAGCCAAGUAGCGUGAGGGAUGACUGCCCUAUGGGUUGUAAACUUCUUUUAUAUGGAAAUAAAAUGUUCCACGUGUGGGAUUUUGUAUGUACCAUAUAAAUAAGGAACGGCUACCUCCGUGCAAGCAGCCGCGGUAAUACGGAGGAACCGAGCGUUAGCCGGAUUUAGUGGGUUUAAAGGGAGCGUAGGUGGAUUGUUAAGUCAGUUGUGAAAGUUUGCGGCUCAACCGUAAAAUUGCAGUUGAAACUGGUAGUCUUGAGUACAGUAGAGGGGGGUGGAAUUCGUGGUGUAGCGGUGAAAUGCUUAGAUAUCACGAAGAACUCCGAUUGCGAAGGCAGCUCACUGGAUUGCAACUGACACUGAGGCUCGAAAGUGUGGGUAUCAAACAGGAUUAGAUACCCUUGUAGUC
rnacentral:rRNA from 1 species